GACGAACCCUGGCGGCGUGCCUAACACAUGCAAGUCGAACGGAGAAUUUUAUUUCGGUAGAAUUCUUAGUGGCGAACGGGUGAGUAACGCGUAGGCAACCUACCCUUUAGACGGGGACAACAUUCCGAAAGGAGUGCUAAUACCGGAUGUGAUCAUCGUGCCGCAUGGCAGGAUGAGGAAAGAUGGCCUCUACAAGUAAGCUAUCGCUAAAGGAUGGGCCUGCGUCUGAUUAGCUAGUUGGUAGUGUAACGGACUACCAAGGCGAUGAUCAGUAGCCGGUCUGAGAGGAUGAACGGCCACAUUGGGACUGAGACACGGCCCAAACUCCUACGGGAGGCAGCAGUGGGGAAUCUUCCGCAAUGGACGAAAGUCUGACGGAGCAACGCCGCGUGAGUGAUGAAGGAUUUCGGUCUGUAAAGCUCUGUUGUUUAUGACGAACGUGCAGUGUGUGAACAAUGCAUUGCAAUGACGGUAGUAAACGAGGAAGCCACGGCUAACUACGUGCCAGCAGCCGCGGUAAUACGUAGGUGGCGAGCGUUGUCCGGAAUUAUUGGGCGUAAAGAGCAUGUAGGCGGCUUAAUAAGUCGAGCGUGAAAAUGCGGGGCUCAACCCCGUAUGGCGCUGGAAACUGUUAGGCUUGAGUGCAGGAGAGGAAAGGGGAAUUCCCAGUGUAGCGGUGAAAUGCGUAGAUAUUGGGAGGAACACCAGUGGCGAAGGCGCCUUUCUGGACUGUGUCUGACGCUGAGAUGCGAAAGCCAGGGUAGCGAACGGGAUUAGAUACCCCGGUAGUCCUGGCCGUAAA
rnacentral:rRNA from 1 species